GCCCCAGCCUGCUGCUAAGGGUCCCUCCGGGGUGAGGCCCGGGGUCCUGGGAUUGGGUGCUGGGUGUGAAACGCCAGGGUCAGUGCCACUGCUUUGCUGGUGUCCUGAAUACACGUUUCUCUGCUUCUUGGGUAAUCUGACACGAUAACUGGCCAGAGGGAGUCAGCCAGGAUCACCCUGAAUAUUGCUAGAGACCUUUUGAUGGUUUGAAAUCACUCAUGCAAGAGACACCAAGUACCCAGGAUGUUUCAAGCACUGACCCAGGUCCUGAGGCUGCAACAGACAAUUAAUUAAGGGUUCGG